rnacentral:snoRNA from 1 species
CCCCUCUCAGGGUCGUACCUGGAGAGUUUCCAGUACUCUACCAGUCUCCAUUAUUGGAGGGAUAGUCAAGCAGAGGCCUACCCAUUCCAUUCCCAGCUUGGACAGUGGCUAGAGAGUGGAAAGCAAUCUGCUACAAAU